rnacentral:tRNA from 2 species
GUCCCGUUCGUCUAUCGGUUAGGACGUCAGGUUUUCAACCUGAAAAGAGGGGUUCGAUUCCCCUACGGGAUG